CCGACGCGCAGGCCGCGGAGCCGUGCCGCCUGCCGGGCGAGAUGGGCCUGCCACAGGGCGAGGGCGGCGGGAUCGUUGCCGGCGGGGCGGUC
rnacentral:tRNA from 1 species